rnacentral:lncRNA from 1 species
UUUAACAAGAAUGUGUAGAAAAUAUCCUUGUGAAACGAUACUAGAUGAAGCGCAAAUUUCAAGGAUAUUUUAUUAAUUUCACGGAGUAUAGAAACAAUACUUUAACAAAAUGAGGGUAUAAUCAGGAAUACGAGACGAAAUAAUAUUACUCACAUACUACAAAGUAUGGAAGAAAAUAUUAUUCCUAUGAAUACUAAACAAAAUAAUAUCCGUUACCUCUGAAGAAGACUG